CAGUCGCCGCGGUAAUACGUAGGUGGCAAGCGUUGUCCGGAAUUAUUGGGCGUAAAGGGCUCGCAGGCGGUUUCUUAAGUCUGAUGUGAAAGCCCCCGGCUCAACCGGGGAGGGUCAUUGGAAACUGGGAAACUUGAGUGCAGAAGAGGAGAGUGGAAUUCCACGUGUAGCGGUUAAAUGCGUAGAGAUGUGGAGGAACACCAGUGGCGAAGGCGACUCUCUGGUCUGUAACUGACGCUGAGGAGCGAAAGCGUGGGGAGCGAACAGGAUUAGAUACCCCGGUAGUCCCUGUCUCUUCUAC
rnacentral:rRNA from 1 species